UACGGGGGGGGCAAGCGUUGUUCGGAAUUACUGGGCGUAAAGCGCACGUAGGCGGACUUGUCAGUCAGAGGUGAAAUCCCGAAGCUUAACUUCGGAACUGCCUUUGAUACUGCAAGUCUUGAGGAUGAGAGAGGUAAGUGGAACUGCGAGUGUAGAGGUGAAAUUCGUAGAUAUUCGCAAGAACACCAGUGGCGAAGGCGGCUUACUGGCUCAUUUCUGACGCUGAGGUGCGAAAGCGUGGGGAGCAAACAGG
rnacentral:rRNA from 1 species